UCAUCAUGGCCGCGCGUUUUUUCUUUCACACGUUGUGAAGAUUCCAUUGACAAAAAAACGUUCCGAAAACUCGUCAUUUGAUCAUCUUCAACAGCUUGACUUCAUUCAGAGAGAAUUGGAGAACAAAUUGCAGAUGGACCCAUCAGUACCAGUACAAGAACCGAAGAUGUUCAGUCUUCGUUUGCACUCUUCUUUCAUGAAGCUGGGACCUGGUUGACGUUCAUCUUCUUCACCACUAUGUGACCACUUGUUUUCACCUUCAUCUGUAAAUUCAUAGAAUCAUCUCACUAGUGGUACUGAGCAAACCAUCGAUGUUCAAAGACCACCACAAGAAAUGACAAUGAUCAACUUGUCAUGCAACCAAGACAAUUCAGUCAUGCAGAGAGUUGGAACUUCAUUAAGAGUGACAGCCCAAUCCAGACAGAGAGUGUCGACG